rnacentral:snRNA from 1 species
AUCUCUUCAGAGACAUCCGAUAAGAUUGGAUAUAGAGAAGAUUAGCAUGACCGCAAGGAUGACAUGCAAAAAUCGAGAAAUGAUCCAAAUUUUU